UUUCCGUAGGUGAACCUGCGGAAGGAUCAUUAGUGAAAAACCGAGGUGAGAGCUCUGUCGCUGAGCCUAGAGGCCGUGCGAGCGCGAGGGCCCGCACACCCAUCCACCUCACCCCUAUGUGCACCACCGCGCAGGUCCCCCUUAAACAUGUUCGGAGGGGGGCUUACGAUUUCACGAAAACUUAGCAUGCAUUGUAGACGGUAUUUAUUGUUUUUGCGAGCACGGAAUCAAUACAACUUUCAACAAAGGAGCUCUUGGGUCUCGCACCGAUGAAGAAAA
rnacentral:misc_RNA from 1 species